rnacentral:rRNA from 1 species
GACGAACGCUGGCGGCGUGCCUAAUACAUGCAAGUUGAGCGCUGAAGGUUGGUACUUGUACCAACUGGAUGAGCAGCGAACGGGUGAGUAACGCGUGGGGAAUCUGCCUUUGAGCGGGGGACAACAUUUGGAAACGAAUGCUAAUACCGCAUAAAAACUUUAAACACAAGUUUUAAGUUUGAAAGAUGCAAUUGCAUCUCUCAAAGAUGAUCCCGCGUUGUAUUAGCUAGUUGGUGAGGUAAAGGCUCACCAAGGCGAUGAUACAUAGCCGACCUGAGAGGGUGAUCGGCCACAUUGGGACUGAGACACGGCCCAAACUCCUACGGGAGGCAGCAGUAGGGAAUCUUCGGCAAUGGACGAAAGUCUGACCGAGCAACGCCGCGUGAGUGAAGAAGGUUUUCGGAUCGUAAAACUCUGUUGGUAGAGAAGAACGUUGGUGAGAGUGGAAAGCUCAUCAAGUGACGGUAACUACCCAGAAAGGGACGGCUAACUACGUG